UUGAACGCUGGCGGCAGACCUAACACAUGCAAGUCGAACGGUAACAGGAAGAAGCUUGCUUCUUUGCUGACGAGUGGCGGACGGGUGAGUAAUGUCUGGGAAACUGCCUGAUGGAGGGGGAUAACUACUGGAAACGGUAGCUAAUACCGCAUAACGUCGCAAGACCAAAAAGGGGGACCUUCGGGCCUCUUGCCAUCGGAUGUGCCCAGAUGGGAUUAGCUAGUAGGUGGGGUAACGGCUCACCUAGGCGACGAUCCCUAGCUGGUCUGAGAGGAUGACCAGCCACACUGGAACUGAGACACGGUCCAGACUCCUACGGGAGGCAGCAGUGGGGAAUAUUGCACAAUGGGCGCAAGCCUGAUGCAGCCAUGCCGCGUGUAUGAAGAAGGCCUUCGGGUUGUAAAGUACUUUCAGCGGGGAGGAAGGGAGUAAAGUUAAUACCUUUGCUCAUUGACGUUACCCGCAGAAGAAGCACCGGCUAACUCCGUG
rnacentral:rRNA from 1 species